UAAAAUAAUUAUAAAUAGUAUAAAUUAGACCUGAAUGUGUAAAGCUGAAUUAGGAAAUGAUUACUCUACAUGGAGUUAUUUUUAAAGUGUGUCCUUCAAGGGGAGAUAACAAGCAAAUUAAUCACUAUUGAAGGCUAACUUACCAGUUCUAAACCAAUCAACACCAGAUUCUUUCCCGUUAAUAAUAAGUCACGCUUCACACUCUGUAAUAAAAUUAUACCCAUGUGAUACAUGUACUACAUAUUUAAGAUACGAUGAACUAAAAUUCCACUGAUCUAUGCUGCUCCCUAUGUAAAUGUUACACUUUACUCUUCUAAUUUUCUAGUCAACAUUUCUCUGAAGUUCAACUUUCCACCAUUUUACGGUAGCACUAUCGCCAGUUACAAGUCUUUUUUAUUGUAGAAUGACGUCAAGAUACUAUACCGCCAUCUUUAUGUUUAGUGGAAUCUGAUGGGCCUGAUUGAAUCCAAGCCAGGAGGUUAUCUAGUGAUAUUUUUAAUUUGGAUUUUCAAUAAAUGUUAAAUAAUCAA